GAAUUCUUAUUGAUCUUUAGGAUUGGCAAAAUCUCCUCUGGGCCAAUGAGGAAGCCAUUGAAAUAGGAGAAAUAUGAUAAGUGAGUUUGUUUUUUUUUUUCCCCACCCUUAUAGCUUCAUAUUGCUUCCUUAAUUUGUUCAACAUAAGAGUUUAGCAGUCGUCAAGCCGCGACUCAGUCUCCCCCAUCAUCGACAAAGUCUCCAUCUUAGCAACUAUCCGGUUGCAACGUGUCUAAUCCGUGAUUGUCGUUGUCUGAACUGCAACUUAGUCGCCUGUGUGUUUGUUGUUUGUCGCUCGUCAUAACCCCCAUUCACUAAGAAGUAUAACACACGAGGGAGAGGGAGAAAGGAAUGUCUGCACAGAAGUUGUCUAAAAUUAAAGACAGAGCUCACGGAGAGUAGUAUAGGUCGGUCCGCAGAUUACAAAACGAGCCAAACAGGUCGCCGACACUCAGGAGGUUCGGAAGAGUUAAAGCGAACCAAUUACAAACGAGGGAUUUAAUUACCAAACUGCCCUUCCCAAUCCCACUUGUGGCCAUCCAUCUUCCAAGUAAAGGAAACAAAAAAAACAAACCCACUUUUUGACCACCGGCUGACCUGCUGGUCCGGUUCCCGGGUACUUUGCCGACACGUGCUGGUCUUUCCCGGGUUGACCCGACCACCGGCGCUUCCCAUUUAAGACUCCUCACCAACUCCCUCUAAGUGAAAACGUCGCCGUUUAUAUGUCUGUCCAAUGCUGACGUGAUCUCAAUGGAUCUGAGCCGUCGGGUUAGUGAUGGAGUGGAGGAAAUGAACGACUGUGAUUGUUCCAAGGUUACUGGAAUUUUUCUUCUCUUUUUGUUUUACUCUAAAUAGAAUUUGGUUUACUCUCUCUCCCCUACUUCCACCAAACCUCGUAGGGAUGUUUAUAUAGGUGAAGGUGCUAUGCAUUUUUAUUUCUCAAAUAUACAUAAUAGUCUUAAGGAAAAAUAUAUUCUCUUCUUUAUUUUUUA